GACGAACGCUGGCGGCGUGCUUAACACAUGCAAGUCGAACGAAAAGAGGGAAAGAGCUUGCUCUUUCCGGAAUUGAGUGGCAAACGGGUGAGUAACACGUAAACAACCUGCCUUCAGGAUGGGGACAACAGACGGAAACGACUGCUAAUACCGAAUAAGUUCCAAGAGCCGCAUGGCCCAUGGAAGAAAAGGUGGCCUCUACCUGUAAGCUAUCGCCUGAAGAGGGGUUUGCGUCUGAUUAGCUGGUUGGAGGGGUAACGGCCCACCAAGGCGACGAUCAGUAAGCGGACCUGGGAGAUGAAACGCCAACCUGGAAACGAGACAAGGUCCAGACUUCUAAGGGAAGCAACCGGGGGGGAACUUUCGCAAUGGGGGAAAGGCUGACGGAGCCACGCCGCGGGAGGGAUGGCGGCCUUCGGGUUGGAAAAAUCUUUGAUCCGGGACGAAAAGGCAGAGUGCGAAGAACAAACUGCAUUGACGGUACCGGAAAAGCAAGCCACGGCUAACUACGUG
rnacentral:rRNA from 1 species